rnacentral:rRNA from 1 species
UACGUAGGGUGCGAGCGUUGUCCGGAAUUAUUGGGCGUAAAGGGCUCGUAGGCGGUCUGUUGCGUCAGGAGUGAAAACUCGGGGCUUAACCCCGAGCCUGCUUCUGAUACGGGCAGACUAGAGGUAUGCAGGGGGAGAACGGAAUUCCUGGUGUAGCGGUGAAAUGCGCAGAUAUCAGGAGGAACACCGGUGGCGAAGGCGGGUCUCUGGGCAGUAACUGACGCUGAGGAGCGAAAGCGUGGGGAGCGAACAGG